rnacentral:rRNA from 1 species
UACAGAGGGUGCGAGCGUUAAUCGGAAUUACUGGGCGUAAAGCGUGCGUAGACGGUUAUGUAAGUCGGGUGUGAAAGCCCCGGGCUCAACCUGGGAAUUGCAUUCGAGACUGCCCUGACUCGAGUCCGGUAGGGGAGCGUGGAAUUCCCGGUGUAGCGGUGAAAUGCGCAGAGAUCGGGAGGAACACCCGUAGCGAAGGCGGCGCUCUGGGCCGGUACUGACGCUGAGGAGCGAAAGCGUGGGGAGCAAACAGG